UACGGAGGGGGCUAGCGUUGUUCGGAAUUACUGGGCGUAAAGCGCACGUAGGCGGCUUUGCAAGUUAGAGGUGAAAGCCCGGGGCUCAACUCCGGAAUUGCCUUUAAAACUGCAUCGCUAGAAUUGUGGAGAGGUAAGUGGAAUUCCGAGUGUAGAGGUGAAAUUCGUAGAUAUUCGGAAGAACACCAGUGGCGAAGGCGGCCUGCUGGGCAGUUGCUGACACUGAGGCGCGACAGCGUGGGGAGCAAACAGG
rnacentral:rRNA from 1 species